AGAGUUAAAUAGUACGUGAAAUUGUUGAAAGGGAAACGAUUGAAGCCAGUCGUACCUGCGGACAAUCAGCCUUCCGUGUGUGAUUACGUGGUACUUGAGGAGCUAAACACCCUCAUGUUUGCGUAUUCGUGCUCGUGGGUGUAUUUGCCCGUGUUGGUAGGUUAACAUCAAUUUCGGGCAUCAUAAAAUGGUUGGAGGAAUGUGGCUUCGACCUCGGUUGAAGUGUUAUAGCCUUCGGCAGAUGUGGUGAUCGGGAUUGAGGAUUGCAACGGAUACCCUUUGGGCUACCUGUCUGAUCUCUGAUGGUUACUCUGGUGCCGAAAGCUUGCUUACGGUUAUCAAAGUUGAUCGUCAACAGGUUAGAAUGGGAUAAAUUCGUUAAGGAUGUUGACGUAAUGGCUUUAAACGACC
rnacentral:rRNA from 1 species